AUCUUCUGUGGUUUCUAAGUGUGAUGAUUGGGUUUUCACACAGUUGUGUGAGGUGUGCCACCUUCAAACCUUGUUAUGACGUCGACACUUACCCAUCUGACA
rfam:Homo sapiens chromosome 18, GRCh38 reference primary assembly.